rnacentral:rRNA from 1 species
CACGGGGGGAGCAAGCGUUGUUCGGAAUUACUGGGCGUAAAGGGCGUGUAGGCGGUCAAGUAAGUGGAAUGUGAAACGCCUCGGCUUACCCGAGGACCUGCAUCCCAAACUGCUUGGCUUGAGUAUGGGAGAGGAUGAGGGAAUUCCUGGUGUAGCGGUGAAAUGCGUAGAUAUUCGGAAGAACACCAGUGGCGAAGGCGGCUCACUGGCCCGGUACUGACGCUGAGGUGCGAAAGCGUGGGGAGCAAACAGG